rnacentral:lncRNA from 1 species
UAGAAUGAUCCGUGACUCUUCUGCUAUUCUUCUUCUUCUUCUUUCUUCCCUUCAUUAAUUAUGUGUCUGGUGUUUUGGCAUGAGACAGCAAGUUAAUGUUGGAUUCCAUUUGUUUUUAUUCCUCAGGUGACAAGUAGCAUGUUAAAGGGAGACUAUAUUAAUUUAGCAGAGAACAAGGGAACCAGCCCCCUUAUCACUUUUGGACAACGCCUGAUACCAACGGGAGAUGAUUUAAAGCUUCACAUGUGUUGACAGAGUAAUUUUCAAAUUAGAUUUCACAAAAUAUUUUCUAAUUAAUUAUAGUUUCGACGUCUAAUACAUAUUCUGCUAAGUGUAGCUCCAUUUUUAUUUAUUUACAAACA